rnacentral:rRNA from 1 species
GACGAACGCUGGCGGCGUGCCUAAUACAUGCAAGUGGGACGCAAGGGAACACACUGUGCUUGCACACCGUGUUUUCUUGAGUCGCGAACGGGUGAGUAACGCGUAGGUAACCUGCCUAUUAGCGGGGGAUAACUAUUGGAAACGAUAGCUAAUACCGCAUAAUAUUAAUUAUUGCAUGAUAAUUGAUUGAAAGAUGCAAGCGCAUCACUAGUAGAUGGACCUGCGUUGUAUUAGCUAGUUGGUAAGGUAAGAGCUUACCAAGGCGACGAUACAUAGCCGACCUGAGAGGGCGAUCGGCCACACUGGGACUGAGACACGGCCCAGACUCCUACGGGAGGCAGCAGUAGGGAAUCUUCGGCAAUGGACGAAAGUCUGACCGAGCAACGCCGCGUGAGUGAAGAAGGUUUUCGGAUCGUAAAGCUCUGUUGUAAGUCAAGAACGUGUGUGAGAGUGGAAAGUUCACAUAGGACGGAGCUACCAGAAAG